UUGGGAACCUACUCAGCCCAAUUUAUAUUUUCCUUUUUUCUUAAACUCUUAUUUCUCCCAAAUUUGAUUGCGUGAAACUUGCCCUAGAUUCCCAUUUCUCCCCAAAUUUAAUUUCGCUCGAUCAUGUCUGAGUAAGAGAAUCUGAAGAAGAGAUCUCCAACGGUAGUUUGAUUCUGGAAACAAGCUUUGGUUUGAAUCAAUCCUUCCUCAUCUACUACAGAUAGUGAAACUACAAGCGCUGCAGUAGUUUGUAGCACAUGGGGCUUGUUUCUAGAAUCAAACUCCAUAUCUAUGGCAGCAUCUGUAAUUCAGGUUUGAGAAAGGUCAAAUAUCAACGAUGAUAAACUAUGCAUAUUUAAAAGUAUUACUCAUCUGUUAACAUUAUUGAUCUAACAACUAUAAGCAGUGAUCUCUAUUUCUAGAAAAAUAUCAAUGUUAAACAUUAGGUUGGGCAUUACAUUUUAUCUCUCAUCUGUUUUUCAUUUUGUGAAAUCUUUAUGUGCAAUUACUUGAUUUUGUUAAUUUGUUAAAUAUUGAUGUUAGGCACUGCUAUAAGUGUCCUUGUUACAAUAUUUGUAAGGGAACACAUUGUUUCCAUACACCAUAACAGAUCACCAAAAUCUAUUUCACUAAUGUUUCUAAAUACUUUUUAAUGUUCUAUAGAAAUGUAAACACUAAUAUUUAUGAUUCUGUUUUCCUCACAAUGCUUCUGAAAUAUGCACUAAUGCAGGGGGAUCACUACCUAAAACCAUUUGUAAUACCGAAACCAGAAGUCAGAGUGAGCAGAAGAACCAGUGUAGAUGAAUCUCUAUUUUUCUAGAAAUAGAGAUUUGGAUGUUGGCAUGGUUCUAUAUUGAGAAAUGCUAUAUGUCAACUGAAAAAGAGCUUUAAUUGGGUGUCUUCAUUCAUUUCCCGUAUGUUCGUUUUAUUAAUAGUUCAAAACUAUCAAUUCAUACAGCAGGACCAAGCUAACUCUGAUGAGGUGUUGAUAUAUUCAGUUGGGUGAUGAUUCCUUCAUGUACUGAAGCUGUUACUAGAAAAGAGCUUGAUCUAAUUUUGUGACACCUGUGCAUUGAGAUAUUUACCUUUCAUAGACAUUUAAUUUCAUCCUC